UACGUAGGGUGCAAGCGUUAAUCGGAAUUACUGGGCGUAAAGCGUGCGCAGGCGGUUCGCUAAGACAGAUGUGAAAUCCCCGGGCUUAACCUGGGAACUGCAUUUGUGACUGGCGGCUAGAGUAUGGCAGAGGGGGGUAGGAAUUCCACGUGUAGCAGUGAAAUGCGUAGAGAUGUGGAGGAAUACCGAUGGCGAAGGCAGCCCCCUGGGCCAAUACUGACGCUCAUGCACGAAAGCGUGGGGAGCAAACAGG
rnacentral:rRNA from 1 species